rnacentral:rRNA from 1 species
UACGGGGGGGGCAAGCGUUGUUCGGAAUUACUGGGCGUAAAGGGCCAGUAGGCGGCCAACUAAGUCGGAUGUGAAAUCCCCAGGCUCAACUUGGGAACUGCAUCCGAUACUGGAUGGCUUGAAUUCGGGAGAGGGAUGCAGAAUUCCAGGUGUAGCGGUGAAAUGCGUAGAUAUCUGGAGGAACACCGGUGGCGAAAGCGCUCAUCUGGCCCAAUACUGACGCUGAGGCGCGAAAGCUAGGGGAGCAAACGGG